rnacentral:rRNA from 1 species
GACGGACGCUGGCGGCGUGCUUAACACAUGCAAGUCGAACGGGCUUCUGGGGUUCUGGCUUUUUUGGUUGGGGUUCUGGGGGUUAGUGGCGAACGGGUGAGUAACACGUGAGUAACCUGCCCUUCACUUCUGGAUAACCGCUUGAAAGGGUGGCUAAUACGGGAUGUUUCUGGGUCUGUCGCAUGGCGGGUUCGGGAAAGAUGGCACUGUUUGGUGUUUUUGGUGGGGGAUGGGCUCGCGGCCUAUCAGCGUGUUGGUGGGGUGAUGGCCUGCCAAGGCUUUGACGGGUAGCCGGCCUGAGAGGGUGGGCGGUCACACUGGGACUGAGAUGCGGCCCAGACUCCUACGAGAGGCAGCAGUGGGGAAUACUGCACAAUGGGCGGAAGCCUGAUGCAGCGACGUCGCGUGAGGGAUGGAGGCCUUCGGGUUGUGAACCUCUUUCGCCAGUGAGGAAGGCCUUGCCCGUGUGGUGGGGUUGACGGUAGCUGGGUUAAUUGAAGCGCCGGCUAACUACGUG